GGCUCAGAAUCAACGCGGGCGGCGCGCUUAACACAUGCAAGUCGCACGAGAAAGCAGGGGUAACCUUGUGAGUAAAGUGGCGUACGGGUGAGUAACACGUGGAUGAUCUACCCUCAGGUGGGGAAUAACCCUGGGAAACCGGGGCUAAUACCGCAUACGCUCGGGAGAGGAAAGCCGAAAGGCGCCGGAGGAGGAGUCCGCGGCCGAUUAGCUAGUUGGUAGGGUAAAAGCCUACCAAGGCUGAGAUCGGUAGCCGGCCUGAGAGGGCACACGGCCACACUGGCACUGAAAUACGGGCCAGACUCCUACGGGAGGCAGCAGUGGGGAAUCUUGCACAAUGGGGGAAACCCUGAUGCAGCGACGCCGCGUGAGCGAUGAAGCCCUUCGGGGUGUAAAGCUCUUUCGGUGGGGAAGAAGAAAGACGGUACCCGCAGAAGCAGCUGCGGCUAACUACGUGCCAGCAGCCGCGGUAAUACGUAGGCAGCGAGCGUUGUUCGGAGUUACUGGGCGUAAAGGGUGUGUAGGCGGUCCUCCGUGUCUGGUGUGAAAUCUCCCGGCUUAACUGGGAGGGUGCGCCGGAAACUGGAAGGCUUGGAGUGCGGGAUGGGAGAGUGGAAUUCCUGGUGUAGCGGUGAAAUGCGUAGAGAUCCGGAGGAACACCGACGGCGCAGGCAGCGCCCUGGCCGCAUCCUGACACUGAGGCACGAAAGCUGGGGGAGCAAACAGGAUUAGAUACCCUGGUAGUCCCAGCCGUAAACGAUGUCCACCAGGUGCCGGGCGGAUCGACCCGUUCGGUGCCGCAGCUUACGUGAUGAGUGGACCGCCUGGGGA
rnacentral:rRNA from 1 species